GCCGGAGCGGCCAGGCGGCCCCGCGACGCAGCGGGCUCAGAGGUCCUCGCCCACCGUGGAGAGAUGUACGGGCUUAAGAGUCACCUGCCUUGGAAACGUGUGUGUCAGACUUCGUCUGCUGUUUGCAGAACACUAGCCACACUGUUUGGGGAAGCGCGGAAUGAGUAACAGCCUCUGCUUUCAAGGAUAUCCCAAUCAGUCAGGCGGAGGAGCAGAUGGGUAAACAAAAACUGAAGAAGAGGCUGAAUAUGAGGCAGUUGGAAUAGUGAAAAGACAGCAGCCAUUGAUACAUGGACUCACGGCCAGAGAAGACAAGAAAAUGAGCCCCUUAGAAAUUAUCGACUAAAACAGAAUGAAUGGAUCCUGGCUAAGCCCCUGCCAUGGCAAAAUCCAGUGGAAUUGAUGUUCAGAAAGGGCUCUUGAUGAUUUGCUGUGUGAAGUGGAUUAAUACUGUCGGGCCAGCUCUAAGAAUAUCACACACAAUCACAGUGUCUGGACUUCUUGACUCCAAAUUCUCUUCCCUGCAUAAAGGAGGCUGCACUGUUACUGCUUUAGCUCAGUGCUUCAGUCAUGCCUUCCAUGAGACCCUGACCAAAAAAGAUAAAAUCUAAAUGUACAGUGGAAGAAAGAAAGUGAUACAUCCAGCAACUAUUUCUCAGAGAGCUGUCACUUAACUGCUUAUGUGCUUAAAUGGAGCAAGCUGCCAUGUUAGAGAGUCCCAUGUGGCAAAGAACUGAGAGAGGCCUCCAGCCAACAGCCAGAGAGGAACUGAAUCCUGCCAGCAAGCAUGUAAGUCAGCCUGGAAUCAAAUCCUUUCCCAGUAGAGACUGGCGAUGACCACAGCCCUAUCUGAUCCUUGACUGCAGCCUGUGUAGCAGCGGACCCGGCUAAGCCAGCCUGGAC